AUUCACAAUAAUAAGCUAUGUGGGUACCUGUCAGACUUGGAAUGUUUCCGAAAUGCUUCACUGUUCAACUCCUGGAAGGUUCGGGAUGACAGAGAGAGAAGAGAACUGCUUCACAUCACUACAGGGGCCUCCUCCAGUCAAUAAACAUCAGAUAAAAGACCAGCCUUCCUCUCACUGCCUUUUCAGAAGAGCACAUUAAUAUUCAGAGAUGCCUCAAGGAGCAGAAAUCGAAAGACGCGGAGGAAGAUCAAUACAGGAAAGCUACCUCAGUGUCCCUAUAUUGCUGAGCACAGCGGGGGACUGAUUGGUUGCUGAUACUUUUAGACAAGUUGUUGUGACAUUUGAUGCCUUGAACCUACACUUGAAGCACUGUACCAAGCAUGGCACUCUGUUACAUUUUGAAUAGGAUUCUAGGUGUUUUGUAGGCAUUAUCUAGCAUAAAUAGGUAGCAAGAUUAUAACGCAUGUCCGUGAGAUUGAAACCUUGUAUGAAAACUGAAAUAAGUGUAAGUCUUGAUUACGUCUGCUCUGUACAGACACGCGCAUACACACACAAACGCUAGUACACGCACGCUACACCCACGUACAUUGUAAUAUUGUUGUAUAGUGGCAUUACGCAUGUUGUAUUGUAGAUAUGUAGUGGUGUAAUAAUGUUAUACGAUGUGCUGUUUUAGCUUUUGUUUUAUGUGUGAUGUACUGUAAGUGCCUUAAUGUGUUCGGACCCCAGGAAGAGUAGCUGCUGCCUUGGUAGCAGCUAAUGGUUAUCCCUAAUAAAUACAAAUUUCCUCUA